AUUGAACGCUGGCGGCAGGCCUAACACAUGCAAGUCGAGCGAGCGGCGGACGGGUGAGUAAUGUAUGGGGAUCUGCGCGAUAGAGGGGGAUAACUACUGGGAACGGUGGCUAAUACCGCAUACUAGCGGCUGAGCCCAGGUGGGAUGAGCUAGUGGGUGGGGUAAAGGCCCCCCUAGGCGCCGAUCUCUAGCUGGUCGGAGAGGAUGAUCAGUCACACUGGAACUUGGACACGGCCCAGACGCCUACGGGAGGCAGCAGUGGGGAAUAUUGGACAAUGGGCGAAAGCCUGAUCCAGCCAUGCCGCGUGUAUGAAGAAGGUCUUAGGGUUGUAAAGCACUUUCAGCGGGGAGGCGUUACCAGCAGAAGAAGCACCGGCUAACUCCGUGCCAGCAGCCGCGGUAAUAC
rnacentral:rRNA from 1 species